rnacentral:lncRNA from 1 species
AGAAGUGCCACAUUGACUGGCACCCUCCUCCCAUACUGUGCCUCACAGCUGGCAGGAGCUGUUUCCAAGUCUCGCUGUGGUGAAGGUCAUUAAGGGACCUUCUAAGAGAUUUUCCAUGCUGAGAAAGACAUCACAAGAGACAAGGGGCAAGGCUUAUUUGUUAAAAGAAGGUUGACUAAGGAAACCUGGCGGAAAGAUAAUAGUUUGACAGAAGUAGCAAGAAGGGAGGGGGAGGGCUGGGGAUUUAGCUCAGGGGUUCCAGCUGCCUGCCCGGUAAGUGAGGACCCGCGUUGAGUUCGAUCCCUGGUACCAAAAAAAAAAAAAAAAGAAGAGAGGGAGAAUAAGUGAUGGGGAGUGCUGGAGUUACCUGCAAAAGAAGAGCAAGGCUUGAGAAUGGAUGUCUGGAGACCAACGAUUCUGUUUCUGUAAAGGCUCUGGCUCAUGCUUGUGAAUUCCAGUUUAUCCUCACUCUACUUUGCAACUGCCUGCCCUUGGACUUCAAGCACCAGCAUUAGAUGUGAAGACAACAGCCUUCUAGAAACUGCUUAACCAGCUGUCUUUGUUUUGUAUGGUGAUGCAGGACUGUAAAAAUGACUGUGUAAGCUGAAACCAUGCAAAGCAAUCUUAGCAAUCAACGAGAAAAUGGAUGGUUGCUUUGCAACCUUUUAGUUGUUGUUAUGGCUUGUAUUUAGAUGUCCCCCCAAAGCUUCAUGAGGUCAUAGGUGGAGCUUUUUGGAGGUGGCUGGAUCUAGGGUGUAUAAAUGUGAAUUAAGGGUGUGAUACUGGGAUUAAGGGUGUGUGGCACUGGAUUAGACCACUAAUUGGUUUAUCAUAGUUCUGGGUGUGAGUAAUGCGAAGCCUCACCCUGGAUGUUGGUGGCUCCACCCAAAAGGCAGGUAGCCUGGAUGAGAUAAAAGGGUAGGGGAGUCUUGCUGCUUCUUUUGCUGCUUUGCUGCUGCUACUGCUGCUUACCACUUGCUCUGCUGUGGACCGUUUCUCCUCUGUGAUGCUCCUCUGCUAUACUGCCCUGCUUUGGAGCCAGGUGACUGUGAGCUAUAAUAAACCUUUCCUCUUUCAACUUGUGGGUGUUGGGUAUUUUGUCCCAGCAAUGACAGUUGUAAAUAUAUAGGAAAAUGAAAAACAAAACAGUGUAAAGCUAAUAAUUAUUUAAUACACUAUAAUUUUAAAAUGAAGAAAUAUUGCCAGAGUGUGGUGACACAUGCCUGUAAUCUCAAUAUUCAGGCGGCUGAGGCAGGAGGAUCACCACAAGUUUGAGGCCAACCUAGGGUACCUAGUGAGUUCAAGGCCAGCCUGAACUACAUAGUGAGACCCUGUCUAAAAAGAAAGAAAGAAAGAAAGAAAGAAAGAAAGAAAGAAAGAAAGAAAGAAAGAAAGAAAGAAGGAAAAAGUAACAUUGAAAUUUAAAAUGUUUGGGCCAGGGAUUUAGCUCAGUGGUUUCACUGCCUGCUGCGCAAACGCAAGGACCCGAGUUCGAUCCCCGGUACCAAAAAAAAAAAAAUUUAAAAUGUUUUAUUUCUUUAAAACUUUUAAAGAAUAGUGUAGGGCUGAGAGUGUAACUCAGUGGUAGAGUGCUUGCCUAGCUUGCCCAAGGCCCUGGGUUUAAUCCCCAGCACCACAAAAACAGAAAGAAUGAAAGAAAGAAAGGAAGAAAGGAAGGAAGGAAAGGGGGAAAGAAGGAAGGGAGAGUAGUGUUGAACUUGUGACCCCUCUGCCUCAGUCUCCCAAGAACUGGUAACACAGGCAUGUGUCACCCAGCUAAGCAGUGUCAACUCUUGCUGCCCCUAUCUUACCAGGUAAUUCAUGAUACAGAGCAAGCAAGAUUUCUACUAGUUGGUGAACUGUCAUACUAUUUUUUAUGUUAUUUUGUGCUUUUUGCAAUGCUAGGGAUUGAAGUAGGGGUUCAUGAAUACAGUGCUAGAGAGGUUAAUCCCCAGCCCUUGGUCUUUGGACUAGGAAAUAUGGGCCAGCUGCUUUCUAUUAGGAAAUAGAAGAGCCCUGGACCAGCUGCUAAGUUCACAAGGCAAGCAGAAGGAGGCUCAUCAUCUGGGAUAUAGAAGAAAGUCUGGAGGCCCAGCCACAUAUGAGGCUGGUAGAUGGAAAAAAGUGGGUGCUGAGAUGCUUUGGAGAUAUCAGGAUAAGAAAAGAGGUGUACUGGGGGAAUAUAGCUUAGUAGUAGACCACUUGCCUAACAUGUGCAAGACCUGGGUUCAAUCCUCAGUAUAGCAAAAAAAAAAAAAAGUAUGGGUAUUGGGAUGUCUUUCUUGUUCAGAAAACAAUGCUCCAUGCAUAGUCCUAAUGACAUCUGAGAAAAAUGCCAUAUGAGCUAAACAUUCAAUCAGUUUGGUGGGAAAUGAGGCCAUGACUUAGACAGGUACUGUCUAUGAGAGGAGGAGAUGGUGGAGAUGAAGUUGAAUUUUUAAGCUUCCACUGGGCGCUUCAGGCCUAACAUCUUACUUCCUGGUCGCUAGUGACUAUUAGAGGAGAAAUGAAGUACAGAGUAUGAAGUAGCCUUGAGACUAUCAGGAAUUUCAUCUGUCUGACUUUUGUUGUUUUUUUCGUUGUUGUUUGAGAGAGGAUCUCACUACACAGCCCAGGCCUCGAACUCACCAUGGAUCCCAGACUGAGCUUGAACUCAUGGCCAUCCUCCUGCCUCAGUCUCCUGAGUGCUGGGAUUAUAGGUAUACACCAGAACACCCCACUCUGAUUUUUACAUAUUUGAAUAUUUUAUAUAGUCAAAAGAAUUCACAUUAUAUAUCUGUCAAUUAUAUGCGAAGUAAAAGAAACAUCUGGGAACCUACCACCCACAUUAACAACCAGAACACUACCACUGCUCUUGUCUCUUGCCUUCCCUGGUGAUGACUACAAUUCUGGUAGAAUUGAUUUUUUUGGUACCGGGGAUUGAACUCGGGUCCUUGCGCUUGUGCAGCAGGCAGCAAAACCACUGAACUAAAUCCCCAGCCCAGAGAUGACUACAAUUCUGAAUUUGUUCCACAAUCUUUUGCUCCUUUUCCUCUUCUUUUUCUGGGCCUGGCAUAUGGUAGGCAAGUGCUCUACCAUUGAGCUUUAUCCCCAGCCCUUUUUAUUUUUUGAGACAGGAUCUUGCUAAAUUGCCCAGGCUGGCCUUGAAUUUGGGAUCCUGCUGCUUCAGUUUCCAGAGUAACUGGGAUUCAGGGAUUGAACUCGGGACCUUGCGCUUGCAAGGCAGGCACCGGAACCACUGAGCUAAAUCCUUGGCCCCAGACAACAAUUCUGACAGUGGAGCUGCCAAGUGAUUGAAGAGGGGAAAGCAAGUUGCUCCAGAACCUGGGAAGAAGCAAAAGGCUGGUGGGACUUUGAGAGCUCCGUUGUCUCCUGGGCACAGCAGGAGCAGCAGCAGUGAAAACAACAUGUUCCUGAGUGGGGAAGCAAGGUACUUCAUGCACAGGGUUUGUAAGGAAGGAGAUAACUGUCGUUACUCGCAGGACACCUCUCGGACAAUCCCUACGGUAUACUAUGCAAUUAUUUCCAGCAAGAGUACUGCGUGUAUGGAGAUGGCUACACAUAUGAGCACCGCAAGCCAUUGAAACAGGAAGAAGCAGUAGCUAUAGAUCUAACUGCAAAAGCACCCCUUGCCGCUGCCUCGAGUUCCUCCUCCGUCGCUGAAGCUCUCAGGGAGAUGAAUACAGGCGAGGCUGAGUCCAGAAAUGCAAAUUCCCCGCCCUAGGUACAGUACAGGGUCAGAGGACUGGGUGAAUGCCAUUGAGUUCUGCCCAGCCAGCCCUACUGUGACCACGCCGCCCCUGCCUGCACAAAGGUCCUGGUGCAGGGAUCAGUGCCCAAGGCAGAGUCUGAGGAGCUGGCUACGUGGAGACCGAGAAGCAGCUCUGCCCCUAAGCGCUGUGGGAGAACUGCGUGUGGUGACACCUGGGACAUGUGCGGGCUGCAGGUCCAGCUCCUGGUGGAUACAGUCCAGAGGUCCCAGCAAAUAAAAUCUUGCAUCGAGGCCCAUGAGAAGGACAUGGAGCUGUCCUUUUCGGUGCAGUGCAGCAAGGACAUGGUGUGUGGCAUCUGCAUGGGGUACGAGAAAGCCAACCCCAGUGAGCGCCGCUUCGGCAUCCUCUCCAGCUGAGACCAUACCUGGUGUCUCAAGUGUAUUCGAAAGUGGAGGAGUGCUAAGCAUUUUGAGAACAAGAUCAUAAAGUUCUGGGCUGAAUGCCAGAUCACAUCUACAUUUGUCAUUCCAAGUGAGUGCUGGGUGGAGGAGAAAGAGAAGCAGAAACUCAUUCAGAAAUACAAGGAGGCAAUGAGCAAAGGCAUGCAGGUAUUUUGAUGAAGGCCAUGGGAGCUGCCCAUUUGGAGGAAACUGUUACUAAAUUUUUUUUUUUGGUAUAGGGGAUUGAACUUGGGACCUUGCACUUGCAAAGCAGGUGCCGGAACCACUGAGCUAAUUCCCCAGCCCUUGGAGGAAACUGUUUUUACAAGCAUGGGAACCCUGAUGACUUAAAGAGGAGCCACAGAGACAGAAAGUGGGAACAUCAAGCAGAUACUGGGUCCAACAGAGGAACCACUUCUGGGAGCUCACUGAGGAAAGAGAGAACAGAAGCCCCUUUGACAAUGAUGAAGAAGAGGCUGUCACCUUUGAGCUGGAUAAGAUGUUGCUUAUGCUUUUGGCUGCAAGUGGGGGCAAUGAACUGACUGACACUGACAACGAGUGGGACUUGUUUCACGAUAAGUUGGAAGACUUUUGUGACUUGGACCUCUACCGGCUUUGCAUGGCCUGGGAUCGGCCUACCGAGCCUCAAACAGUAGAUGUCCCCUGUGCCGUAUGGCAGUGAGUUGCUCUCCUACUCAGGCCUCAACUCCAGGUGCUGUCGUGACCACUUACCGGGUCCUACCCCACCCCACUUCCCCAAGACUGUGUCAUUUUCUUGGUUGCAAAAAGUUACAAAAACAAAUCUUCAAGUUAGAAAAAAAAAAGAACCAGUAUAGCUGAACAUGGUGGCACACACUUGUAGCAAGAUCCUGUCACAAAGUAAAAUGGGCUGGGGAAGUAGGUCAGUGAUAGAAAGUCUCCUGGGUCCCAUCCCCAGAAAUGGGGGGAAAACAUCAGAGUGGUACAUUGGCUUCUACUGAAGACAUUGAAUAUUAGAUCACUAUGAAGUUUUGAAUUUAAAACUUAUGGGGGAACAUGAUGUUUAUAUUUAUCCUAAAUAACUAUGUAAAGGUAGUAUAGAGACAUGCAAGUGCUCUGAUGUUUUACUUCCCCAGCACUCAGUCCUAGGACACUCCUGGAGGAUACAUUUUAGCAAAAUGAGGAUGCGUGAUAUGAAAGGAAAAGCUCUGCACCAUGGAAACUGGAGAAACCCAGAGGAGCAAUGAGGACAGGCCCAGCAAGACCCAUGGCAUAGGGUUGUACAAGAAAGAAAACAGAGUAAUGGAAGUCACCAUAAUACCUAAAAUUGAUGAACUAUGACAUAGUAGCAUGUGCAUACUAUUUAGAAAAGUGGAAGAAAACAAGAAAAAAACAUUUCAGAGAGUUGAAAUUGGUUGGUCCUGGAGGAUGGGUAAAGGACAGUUGUGUUUUGUCAUGAAUCUGUGGCCUUUUUGUUUUUAUCUAUGUACAUUACUUGAUAAAAAUGGGAACACUUAUGUACUGCUGAUCCAAAUGUAAGAUGGUGCAGCCAUUAACCUUAGAAAGUUAAACACAGUUACACUAUGUCAGGGUUUGGAGGUGCUAUGUUGCUAUGUCCUCCAGGGCUCAGGGGCUUGGUCUCUACUGCAGCAAUAUUCAGAGAGGGUACUUUUUGGAACCAGAUGGAUCAUGAGGACUCUAACUUCAUCAAUGGAUAAAUCCAUUAAUGAAUUCAUAGCUCAAUGAGCUUAUUAGGAAGUGGAGUCUAGUUGGAAGAAGCAAGUCACUGGGGGUAUGGCUUUGAAGGGUGUAUUUUGUUCCCAGCCCCUUCCUCUCCAGCUCACUCUGCUUACUGACUGCCUUGAUGUGAGCAGCUUUAUUCUGCCAUGCCCUUGUGCCAUUCCUUGUGCUACGGAAUACAGAAUACAGCAAUGGAAGCAGAUACCAUAGACUGACACUUCCGAAACUGUGAGUCAAAAUUAACAUUCUUCCUUUAAGCUGAUUUUCUCAGGUAUUAUAUAACAGUGACAAGAAAGUUAAUACAGCAUACAACCCUGCAAUUUCAUUCCUAGCUAUAUAGCCAAGACAGGUGUUUGCAGGAAUAGUUCUGUAGCAUUCAUAAUAACCAAAAAUGCAAACAAUACAAAUGUUCAUCAGUUGAUGAACAGAGAAAUAAAAUGUGGUAUGUACAUCCAUACAAUGGAAGACUAUUCUGUAAAAAGGAAGGAAAUACUGAUACAUAUUACAACAUGGUGAAACACAAAAGGCCGCAUAUUAUAUAAUUCCAUUAAUGUCAAGUGUUCAGAAUAGGCAACUCUAUAUACACAAAGUUAAUUGAGUAGAUUAGAGAUGUAGCUCAGUGACAGAGUGUGUGCUUAGAAUGGACAAGGGCCUGGAUCUGAGCACUGCUAAAAAGAGUUUAUUGGUUAGCUAAGGGUAGGGGGAGGAAGAGAUGAGGAGUAACUGCUAAGGAGUAUGGGAGUUCUUUUUUGGGGUAAUGAAAGUGUUCUUAGGGCCAGGGAUUUAGCUCAGUGUUUCCAUCACCUGCCUUGUAAGCACAAGGUUCCGAGUUUGAUCCCCAGUACCCCCAAAAAAGUGUUCAUGUGAUGUUUGCACAACAUUGUGAAUAUAUUUUAAAACUACUAAACUGCACACUUUAAAAAAGGCCAACUGGUGAAUUUCAUGUCAAAUUUUAUCUCAAUUAAAGAUAAAUUUAAUUAUAAC